ensembl:lncRNA
AUGAUUCCAUGGACACAAACCACACUGCGUUUUUUUGGUUUUGUUUUAAUGCGGCUCAUCUCUCGCUGUUCUUUGCAGCACGAAGAGGAACGGGCCUCGUGGGCCCUUCUCUCUCAGGAGAACCGGAGUCUGGCCGAGGCCUGUGAGCAAGUGGAGCGUGGCCGUCAGCGGUUGGCGCAGGAGCUGCAAGCCAAAGAAGCCCAGCUGAGCUGCCUGGAGGCUCAGCUCGCUCAGGCGACCCGACGCCAAACGGAACUGGAAGAAGAGCUGCGUAGGUGCCAAAUCGAACUGGACAAGCUGCAGUCGCAGUCCCACUUGGCCCUCCUGCCCCCCCGCUGGUGUUCCUCCGCGCCGUGGGCCGAAGGUAAGAAGCCGGAAGAUGAGGAAAGGGCACAGGGUCCUCUUAGGCCAAGCCAGCGAGCGAGAGGCGUCUCUUCCUACGUCCGGGGAUUAGAGGCUUUGCCAGAUGGAGGUGGAAUUAGCGGCUGAAGAGUCACGGGAAAGAGUCAAGGCAGAGUCUGUGACUUCGUGGCGGGGGGGGGGGGUUGAGGGAAAAGGAGGGGUUGUCAGUUGAGGGAUUUAGAUUUAUUUAGGGCAUUUGUACCCCCACUCUUCAUCCAAAAAGGCUCCCACAAGGGCCGUCCCUGCCCACAGGCUUACAAUCUGAAAACAAGACAAAACACGACACACAAGGGAAAAGGGACACGGAGGGAAGAGGAAAAUCAAAACUCUGGUGGCCUGGAGAUGGGGCGGUAGCCCACAGCAGAGUGGUUUUGCUCGUGUCUAUAUAACGUAUUUCUUGCUCUAUAAGACUCACUUUUCCCCUCCUAAAUAGUAAGGGGAAAUGUGUGUGUGUCUUAUGGAGCGAAUGCAGGCUGCGCAGCUAUCCCAGAAGCCAGAACAGCAAGAGGGAUCGCUGCUUUCACUGUGCAGCAAUCCCUCUUGCUGUUCUGGCUUCUGGGAUUCAGAAUAUUUCUUUUCUUCUUUUCCUCCUCCAAAAACUAGGUGUGUCUUAUGGUCUGGUGCGUCUUAUAGAGCGAAAAAUACGGUAACCUACUACCACAGGUAGGCUUUAUUCAAUCUGCAGGCCCAAAUUGGUUCCCCUGGCAACCAGUUCUCCCUCUGUUCUCUAGGUGGCAUUGAGGCCAAAGCAGAGCUUAGCAGGACCCUUGCAGCUGGAGCAAGUGUGAGUAUUGCUUUAAUGUGGCUUUGGAACAGCUGGUGCCCUCCAGGCUUCAGGACUCCAGCUCCCAUUAGCCAGCGCUGGUUGAAUCCGAUGGGACUUGUAGUCUAGGACACCUGAAAGGCAUCAGAUUGGCAGAGUCUGCUUUUAAAGCUGGUCUUGGACCAUGAGACUUUUCUUACUCCUUUCCCACUUUCCAGCAGAUUCAGGACAGCAGCCCUGCCGUUGGAGGCCCCUGCGGGAAGGAGAGCCCCACCGCCUCCUGGCAGCAAGAAGCGGCUUGUCCCAGUGCCCCACCCGGGAGCCCCAUCCCCACAGAGAAUGGCGAAGGGGCCCAGGCGAUGGCAUCAGAACUGGCAUCCAUGGGAGAGAGGCUCGAGAAAGAAAAUCAAGGUAUCGGAACGUGGUCUGUAGGUUUUUUAAAACCAUGCGGCCCUCAGAAUUCCGCCCGGCCCUCAGAACUCUCCCCGGACCACAAUUCUCCCUGGCCUUGCUGGGAAUGUGUGAGGCUUACCAAGCAAACGCAGCAUUUGCUUCAUUGCUCCAGCCACUUUAGACUCUGGCCCCACCCACCACGCGGCCCUCGGAAGGGAAUGUGGCCCUCGGAGUGGAACUGGUUCCCCACCGCUGCCUGAGCGGCUUUUCCUUUCCCCUCCUCUGCCAUUCAGAGUUGAGACUCGCUC